AUUGCCCUAGUAACGGCGAGUGAAGCGGCAACAGCUCAAAUUUGUAAUCUGGCGCAAGCCCGAGUUGUAAUUUGUAGAGGAUGCUUCUGGGCAGCGACCGGUCUAAGUUCCUUGGAACAGGACGUCAUAGAGGGUGAGAAUCCCGUAUGUGACCGGUCCGUACCCUCCACGUAGCUCCUUCGACGAGUCGAGUUGUUUGGGAAUGCAGCUCUAAAUGGGAGGUAAAUUUCUUCUAAAGCUAAAUACCGGCCAGAGACCGAUAGCGCACAAGUAGAGUGAUCGAAAGAUGAAAAGUACUUUGGAAAGAGAGUUAAAAAGCACGUGAAAUUGUUGAAAGGGAAGCGCCUGCAACCAGACUUCGCGGCAGUAUUCCGCCGGCCUUCUGGCCGGUUCAUUUUCUGUCGCGAGGCCAUCAUCGUCUGUGCCCGCCGGAUAAGACCUUGGGAAUGUAGCUCACCUUCGGGGGAGUGUUAUAGCCCAUGGUGAUGCGGCGAGGCUCGGGCGAGGUCCGCGCUUCGGCAAGGAUGAUGGCGUAAUGGUUGUCGGCGGCCCGUCUUGAAACACGGACCAAGGAGUCUAACAUCUAUGCGAGUGUUCGGGUGUCAAACCCCUACGCGUAAUGAAAGUGAACGGAGGUGGGAACCGCAAGGUGCACCAUCGACCGAUCCUGAUGUCCUCGGAUGGAUUUGAGUAAGAGCAUAGCUGUUGGGACCCGAAAGAUGGUGAACUAUGCCUGAAUAGGGUGAAGCCAGAGGAAACUCUGGUGGAGGCUCGCAGCGGUUCUGACGUGCAAAUCGAUCGUCAAAUUUGGGUAUAGGGGCGAAAGACUAAUCGAACCAUCUAGUAGCUGGUUCCUGCCGAAGU
rnacentral:rRNA from 1 species